rnacentral:rRNA from 1 species
GAUGAACGCUAGCGGGAGGCCUAACACAUGCAAGCCGAGCGGUAUUGUUUCUUCGGAAAUGAGAGAGCGGCGUACGGGUGCGGAACACGUGUGCAACCUGCCUUUAUCUGGGGGAUAGCCUUUCGAAAGGAAGAUUAAUACUCCAUAACAUAUUGAACGGCAUCGUUUAAUAUUGAAAGCUCCGGCGGAUAGAGAUGGGCACGCGCAAGAUUAGCUAGUUGGUGAGGUAACGGCUCACCAAGGCGAUGAUCUUUAGGGGGCCUGAGAGGGUGAUCCCCCACACUGGUACUGAGACACGGACCAGACUCCUACGGGAGGAAGCAGUGAGGAAUAUUGGUCAAUGGGUGCAAGCCUGAACCAGCCAUCCCGCGUGAAGGACGACUGCCCUAUGGGUUGUAAACUUCUUUUGUAUAGGGAUAAACCUACCCUCGUGAGGGUAGCUGAAGGUACUAUACGAAUAAGCACCGGCUAACUCCGUGCCAUCCGCCGCCGUAAUAC